UCCAGAGUGGUGUAGUGGUUUGAGCAUUGGACUAUGACUCUAGAGAGCAGGGUUCAAAUCCCUGUUUGAC
rnacentral:tRNA from 1 species